GGUUUUACGUGGUGAGCGUUUCUGCCUUUUGAUGGCUUGGAAAGUAUGUACUUCUAGCCCCAUGAUUUACUGCCUACCUGUUUGAUGAAGGCCUGUAGGACCGUAUCGACUUUAAAGAUCUCUUUUUUUCCCUUUUAAGGAAAAAGAAGAUGGGAUGCGAGGGGUGGUGAAUCAAGGCAAGAGGUAGGUCAAUAGGACCCAUCUCUCUUAUUUUUAUAUUUGGGCCUGGAAAGGACACGAUGACAGCAGCAACUCCAACCAUCCCCAGCAUCUUCCAACAGUGCUUUCUCACCUUUAGUUUUCUUUGAGUGAUGCUGAAUAACAUCAGCAAAGAUCCAUAAAACUGAUGUAUCGAGUGAUGUCAUAUGUUUUUAUUUCCCAUUGCUUAAAGCAUCCGCAAUGAUAAUUUUAUCAACCCGAUUUUAGUACGCCCAGCGUCACAUGUCAUCCGAGCAGUGGGCUUCGAUUCGAUGGUCAAAAAGUCGGGAUUCGCGAAGAAUCUUGAGUGCCUGAGAAAGGAAGAACACCCCUCCAAUCCUCUCGCGGCAACGGAUCGUAGCAUGUACCAUCCACAUUCAGUUGCAUCAGUCGUGUCGAUCAUCAUACGAAAAGGUCAUACGCCUUCUGCAUCCCCUAUACACAUUGGCUUGUUCUAAAGGGGUGUGGUUGGGUUUGAAGAGAGCAGGAAUGGAAAUGGGUCGCUCAAGAUGCCCCCACCGGGGAGUACCUUGAUGGCAGUGUUUUCCAGGUUCGACUGUCAUACAAAGCUAAAAAGAAUCCACCACAUCCAAUGCUUUGGACACAACCCCUUUGUUUGAUUCCCUCUAUUAUAAGUACACUUUUUUUUCCUGAGGAGGUGAGGUCAUACGAAGCUGCUGCUUUGGCUUCAUCGUGGAGCUCCCACUUUCUUUUCUUUGGGCAAAUUUUUUCUAAAUGUCUUCAUAAAUACAAUCCACCCAAUUAAGGAAAAGAAACUUCAGAAGUCCAUUGUUUAAGCUUCUUCCGAUGCUGUUCGAGCUAGCACCUCCCCCGGAUCGCGCGCCAGUGCCUACAGCGAAGGAAAAAGCUGUGCAUGCAGCCAAAGACAUAUUCCAAAGUCAGCCUUACAUCACUUGGAGAAGAAGGAAAGAGGAGGAGCUGGGAAGUUUCCAGGAAAUUUCGAAUAGGCGGGACCAAUUUGUUUACGAAGAAUCUUCCGGGUGUGGCUUACUGUGCGCUAUCAGUCAGGCUGGAUAAUACCAGGCGUAUGAUUUGAGGUUGAUAUUUGAACGAAAUAAGAAAGCGGAAGUGACACGUGACCCAAAUGGGUUUACGUCCCUAACUUCGCUUGUGGCCGGCCAGUCAUCACCUGAUCGAUGACUACGCAAAGUCCUUUGCUAGCUGCUGGUCAGAGACCGUGCCUCUGUGGCCGCACGUCACUUGUGAGUUCCGAAGCCAAGAAUCCAAGUGAGAGUUCAGCCAAAGUUCAUUAUGAACGUGUACAUGAAGUCCAUGUGUAUCCAAGGACAAAGUUUCCAUCGGCAA